AGUCAUUAGUGCUGGGAAAUAUAGGUACAUGCCUAGAACAGCAGCACUGAGGAGGCAGAGGCAGGAGGAU
rnacentral:miRNA from 1 species